rnacentral:rRNA from 1 species
UGUACGCGUAUACCAAAGUUGUUGCAGUUAAAACGCUCGUAGUCGGAAUUUGGCAGUUCCGGAAGUGUGCACGUCGUGUGCGCACUUUGCGGGGACUGCUUUUGUGGUCUUGCGUAGGAUGAGGCACUUUCAUUAGUGAACGUCCUCACGCAACCACUCUUUACUGUGAGAAAAUCAGAGUGCUCAAAGCAGGCAUUUGCCGUGAAUGUAUUAGCAUGGAAUAAUAGAAUAGGACUCGGUUCUAUUUUGUUGGUUUGUUGGGACUGAGUAAUGAUUAAGAGGGACAGUUGGGGGCAUUUGUAUUCCGGCGCUAGAGGUGAAAUUCUUAGAUUGCCGGAAGACAAACUGCUGCGAAAGCGUCUGCCAAGGAUGUUUUCAUUGA